rnacentral:rRNA from 1 species
GACGAACGCUGGCGGCGUGCUUAACACAUGCAAGUCGAGCGGUAAGGCCCUUUCGGGGGUACACGAGCGGCGAACGGGUGAGUAACACGUGGGUGACCUGCCCUCAGCUCUGGGAUAAGCCUGGGAAACCGGGUCUAAUACUGGAUAUGACUCCAUGACGCAUGUUGUGGGGUGGAAAGCCUUGUGCGGCUGAGGAUGGGCCCGCGGCCUAUCAGCUUGUUGGUAGGGUAAUGGCCUACCAAGGCGACGAUCGGUAGCUGGUCUGAGAGGACGACCAGCCACACUGGGACUGAGACACGGCCCAGACUCCUACGGGAGGCAGCAGGUGGGGAAUAUUGGACAAUGGGCGCAAGCCUGAUCCAGCGAUGCCGCGUGUGUGGAGAAGGCCUGCGGGUUGUAAAGCACUUUCAGUAGGGAAGAAAAGCCGAGUGCUAAUAUCACUCGGU